GUUGCGUUUUGCUCCUCCCCUGUCGACGGGGCAGGGCCAGCCCAAUGCGUGCUAGGAGUCCGGAGAGUUCGUUUCCAUGGUGACGGGUUCCGCUAAGGUUUUCCUGGGGUGAAGAGGCAGGGCGUUGAAAUAGUCGCCAUGGCAACAGCAGCAGAGGACAGUAUCCUUGCUGAGUGCUCCUACCUAGAGUUAAGAGCUGUCCAAAAGGCAAAAUAUGGCUCUGAGAAGACAAGACUCCUUGGCACCUGGCCCUCAGGCCCUGGCAGGGCCUGUGUUUGCUGAACUGCAAAAAGGCUAUGAGGACAGAGACUUGAUGACAUGGCAAGGUGGGUGUGCAGGGUUUGCUGCAUAAGACAUGGGGAGCAGGCCCUUCCUUACUCCUCACGAGGAAAACAAGAGGUGAGCAAGGAAAAUUAGGGGCACUGCUAGUAACAUCAUGCAGGUUGAACCUGGAAACCAAUAGAAGCACUGGGUAGGUGAAAUUGGAUCCUAGAAAGCUCACGAGCCAUAAGCAGGAGGGGGCAACCAUAGGCUCCUGGGGUGGUUGUAUGCAGGAAGAACUGAGGAAGGAGGUGGGAUGGGCCAGGGAGGCUGCACAGUUGUGGUAACAGUAGGCACACCAGGGAAGGGGGAGGUUUGGGGACCCGCUGCCUGAAGAUAGCUCAGGUUAGGGGCUGAAGGCCUGGGAGGACACAGAGAUGGGAAGGGUUAGAUGAGCUGUCUAGGGUUAGGGUUUCCCAAAGCCUCUUUGGGGCCUCUGCUCUCCUCAUUACCUGCCUCUGGCUCCCCGGACACUUGAGAAGUUAUAUAAUUAGCCAGAUAGUAGAAAAAAUACCUUUUUAUUAUUAGGAAUAAUUCAUUCAUGUAAUGCAAGAUGUAUGUUGGAGAAGGUUAAGUAUAGCCACAUGAAUGAGGGGAAACGAGCAAGAGGAACAGUGGUGACAAGGGGGAUGGUCCCCCACUUUCCACAAACUAUAAACAGCAACAUGAACACAGAGAAUCACAAA